rnacentral:rRNA from 1 species
AUUGAACGCUGGCGGCAGGCUUAACACAUGCAAGUCGAGCGGAGACUUCGGUCUUAGCGGCGAACGGGUGAGUAAUACCUAGGAAUCUGCCUAUUAGUGGGGGAUAACGAAUCGAAAGGUUCGCUAAUACCGCAUACGUCCUACGGGAGAAAGGGGGGGAUCUUUGGACCUCUCGCUAAUAGAUGAGCCUAGGCCGGAUUAGCUAGUUGGUAGGGUAAAGGCCUACCAAGGCGACGAUCUGUAGCUGGUCUGAGAGGAUGGCCAGCCACACUGGAACUGAGACACGGUCCAGACUCCUACGGGAGGCAGCAGUGGGGAAUAUUGGACAAUGGGGGCAACCCUGAUCCAGCCAUGCCGCGUGUGUGAAGAA